CCGGGCGGGGACGGAGAGCCGCCCUGACGCACGACGACGGCCGGAACGACCCGCGCCUGCGCACACAGCAACAGAGCCGGCGGGCCUCGGACGACUACACGUCCCAGGAGCCACCGCGGCCCCCGGGGGGUGGCAGGGCCGCCCUCACCCGCGACGCCUGCCGGAACGCCCCGCGCCUGCGCAUUCAGCGCGGGUGCCGGUGUGCGCCGCGGUCCCAGGACCCGCCGCGGCCCGGCUGUGAGGUCCUUCACACUCGGGGACUCCUGGAGCGCCCCGCGGGGGACUGAAUGGCGCCUCGAGACAGAUGCCCUUGGCCUGUUACGACUCCCAGAAAGCCCCAUGCCCGCAGCCGAGACCUAGAGCCUAAGCAGGAGCGGAGAGACCCGCGGCGCGCAGCUGUGGCAGCCCGAGUCCCCGCGUGAGGGACCGCGGUCGCGACAGACCGGCGCGUCCGGCCGGCGAAGGCCCCCGUGGGCGGGCCCAGGCGCUGCAGCCCCGGGGCGGGCCCCGCUCCUCGUUCUCGCGGCUCCGAGCCGCCCGGACGCCUCCGGAAAGCGGAGCUGGAAUGGCGGCCCCGCCAGACCGACCUGGGAGCUCCUUUCCUCCGUGCGCCGCGGGGUGCGGUGCUGGCCGGCCCGGCCCGCCCAGACGGGCUCGGAGCCCCGGUGCGGCGGGAGGACGACCUGUCCAGCUCCACGUGCAGGUUCGCGGGAGGCGGCCCUCGGGGACGGGGAGCGCGUGGCCGGUGGAGGGAGCGGCGUCUGCGGACACGUCCGUGCCGGCAAGUGGCAGGAGCGAGGGAAGAAGGGAGUCCGCGGCUGGUCCGUCCCGGGGCCCUGGGGUCGUGACCCGAGCCGAAGGCAGUCGCCCAACCCGCCGGGCCACCCAGGCGCCCGUCAGCUUUCCCCUUCCGAGCUGACAUUACCAGUCCGGGUGUCCGCCGACAGGUGCACGGGUGGACACGCCGCGGCCCACCGCCCCUCGGGACGGCUGUGAAAACGGCCCCGACGACGUGACACGGCGUACACAGGUCACUGGGUGCGCGACUCCAUUGCCACGAAGCUGCAGCACCGGUAGGAGACCCGUGGUCGGGGUCCUGCUGGGAGUGGAAUCGGACUGGGACGUCCUCCGCGGCGGCCGGGGGCAGUGACCUGGGCGUGGCCAUUACUCAGAACCGGGCGCUUCGGCUCAGUAUUCAGUAGGUGCAUUUUGUCCAACUUUCAUCAAUAAAAUGUAUUUCUAAAACGGGGUUUUGAAGAAGGAAUGAAAGUGAAGAGACUAAAACUGGUUAAAGGACACCGAAACCGAAACCGAACCACAGAGCCUGCCUACCGCCCCGGAAGGCGGCCGUUGCUGCGGAGGCUGCGCUGGGUUAGGGUCAGUCGCAACUGCUGCAUCAGAAGUAGGGCCAGCAGGUGUCCGGGGAAGCGCACACCUGCGAGGCCCGCCGUCUGUGCCAGUGACCGGAAGAAAGCCAGGACACCCCUUUAAGUAAAGGGCAAGUUAGUCAAGUCCACACGGCACCCCACACCGAGGGACAGUGCCUCGUGGGCCUCUCUGAAGUUGGAAGGCACCGGGCAGGGCUCCCCACGGCCGUAGUUGGUAAAGCGUCCGAUGUGGACGGCACCGGGAGCACCAGAGCUCCGCGGCCAGCACGGGGUGGGUGUGAGGCUUCCUCGGCUGAGCUCCCGAGCAGCAGAGGCCUAGCUGUGGGAAGCACCCAAGGCCGAGCGGGAUGCCCUCGGGAGUCUCGCAGCUCCGAAGAGCUCUCCGGUUCUGUAGCAAAGCCCGGUUUCGGGGAUAGAAAAGCAGAGUCUCCCACACCACAGGGCCCUCACGGAGCCUGCACCCGUCCCCAGCAUGUGAUUUUGUAACUGGUCCGAGGGGCCCCGCCAGGGUCGCGGUUGGCUGCUGAAUUCAUUGUACUGUGGAACGAUUCAUCUGGUGCCAGGCCCCGGGGAGCGCCUAAAGCCCAGCGCAAGAGGAAGUAACUCACAGAUGCAUCAUGUAUGGUCUGGAAGGACUGCGGACUCACGGGAGCCCCUCCGUUGGUGGAGCCCCCGAGAGAACCCUGGCCAGUGGUCCAAGCUAUGAGCAGUGCCCUGAGGCAUGUACAUCACAGAUGGAGGGACGGUUGGAAGCCCCGAGACGCACAGAUAUCCCGGCAGAGGUGACUCACUUGGCUGGUUGGUAGGAUCCCGACGGGAACAAAGCCAACAGGGACGGGACGAGGAAGUCAGGGAAGGGGAACGUGGCUGAACUCUGCGCUCGGGCAGUGGGCAUGAAGCAGGUGGAAUUUUAGAUCUCGCAUGAAUGCCUAGGACGGUCAGAGAAAGCAGACGGGAGCAGUGUGACUCUUGCACAUACUGGCUAGCCUCAGGUCCAGUGGGCCACUUGAAGGCACAGUAAGUAUAAUAAUGGGCUCCUGGUCAUGGCGAAACCCUUGAGUGUUAUUCGGUUACCCAGAAGCAGUCAGCCUGACAGAUGGUAAGAUGCUCUAUUGAUGAUUCCUCAGUUUACAGCAUGUACUUCUGACCCAAUUAUUGGGUCGAUACUUAAGGAUUUCCAGCUUCUACGUUUUUGAUUAUAGAGAUAAGAUUUUCUAAGCUAUUUUGGCCCUGUAGACCCCAGGAUCAAUUAGCCGCUUCCAGAGUUGCCUGCAUGGACAGCAGUUUCAGUUACCAUGCUGACCUUAAGCCUACCACAGUAACCCUGCCAUCUUGUCUCCCUAAAUUAAAUUCUGCUACUAGGCCUGUUCUACCACAGAACCCUGGAGUCUCCUUUCAUAUCAGGAACCUGACUUUGGGGCACCCUUGGCCCCAAGCAUAGCAAUUAGCACAUUUUUACAGGAUGCUGGUGCUUCUCUUACCCACUAAUUUCUCAGUGCCCCUCUUGAAGGUCAAGAUUGGGGAAACUGGUGAGUGCAUUACCCAUAACAGACCUACAGCAUCUUAUUUCCUUAAAUCCCUAUACUAUGCCAAGGAGUUCCUGACCUCCUGCCUUUGUGUUGGCCUCUGUUAAGUCCAGGAUUUCAGAAAAUCAACUGAACACAAAUACUGAUGGCUCAACAAAAUCAAGACCUUAUUUCAUAAAAGCUGACAAAUGGGCAAAUUUAUGCCAAGAUGGAAUGAGAAUAAAAGAGAAUUCACAAAUAUAAAUGAAAAGUUCAGUGUGACUACAGAGGAGAUCCAAAGUCAGCAUUUAUCAUUUUAAUUAUAAUUAAAAUUAUAUUUUAUAUUUUUAUAUUAUAUUUUUAUUUAUAUAUUAAAUAUAUUUAUAAUAUAUUUAUUUUAUAUUAUAUUUUUAUAUAUUUAUAUUUUAUAUUAUAUUUUAUAUAAUUAUAAUUCCGUAAACGUAAAUUGCCGCAGACAACAGCUUACCAAAACUCCCUGAAUCGUAUGUAUAGAGCAAAGCAAGUCACAUGCUAUCUUCCACAGUAAGCUGCUCACCUUCUCAGGGCUUAUAACCUUGUUCCUGGAAUGUACUUGGGGUAUUGGGACCUCCAACAUGCCAGCCCCUUCUCCACCAUCUCACUGGAUGGGCUUGAUUUCACUGGUACCGGACCAUGUGCAGAUAGCCUGGACCGACCUCUGUGGACUGUGAUGGCAGCCCUGGGGCAAACCGUGAUGUGUGAUGUGGUCUGCUCAAUGCUGAUACAGACAUCUGAUCUCUUCCUGAGUGGGAUAAAAAGAAUGCAUUUGUCGAAUCAAA